GAAAGGUAAGUUACUAUCAGAACCAGUUCUUCGAAGUCCAGACUUUAGCAGAUCAUUUAUUUUGCGCACAGACGCAAGCGCACACGGUGCAGGCGCAGUACUAGAGCAAGAGUUUGAAGAUGGUAAGCAUCCAAUUUGUUUUUUAAGCAAAAAGUUCAGUCCUGCUGAGAGAAAUUAUGCUGUGGUAGAAAAAGAGUGCCUAGCUAUUGUGUGGGCGGUUCAGAGUCUCAGGGUGUAUUUAGAAGGUAAACCAUUUGAAAUCGAGACUGAUCAUGCACCAUUGCAGUGGUUACAGAGGUCAAAGCUAUCUAAUCAAAGAUUGUUACGAUGGAGUCGUCUUUUGCAGGAGUUUGUGUUCUCGAUUAGGUAUAUUCGUGGUACACAGAAUUCAGUUGCAGACUCUUUGUCAAGAAUGUGUUCGGAUGAUGCGAUUGACUAAUUAUAUGCUAUAGCUUUGUGUCUGGAUAAAUAUGGAUUUAUAUAAGUCAUUUGUAUAUAGUUUGCGUUUGUUUAUUUUCAAUUUUAGUUUGUUGGUUUGGGUGGACUAAAUGUUGUUUAGUCUUAUAAGAGGGAGGUAUGUAACAAACUAAAAUUCGUUGUGUAUAAUUAUAAUUCCCCUUGGUUCACCUUUUCGGUUUAUCCUUUGGAGAGCCCCUUGUUUUAAUACUUUGACCCUUGGUUACCGUGGUAACAUAUCAAUCCUGUGGGGAGCCCCUCGUUGAUACCUUAAAUAGUUGGUAAAAGUAUGCACGGGUAGUACCCGGGAACAUCAGCCGAUAGACGUGGGCGUCAUCCCGUCUAGUGCUCAGGGGCCUGUUUUAGAAAAACAUCAGGGUCUUUUCUGUCUUGUUUUGCUGUAAAUUUUCCCGUCCCUACAGAACGUCAAUACCUGUCAGGGAAGGAGGGUUCUUGGGUGCUGAAAUAUUUCCAGCUCCUGUAUUUAUGAGUAGCCGUUUCCAUUUUCAUGGGAUAAUUUAUAGAGACCGCUGUUCUACAGUGAGUGAGUGAACUACGGCGGCCCUUUCGACACAUCUCUAAAACUACUUAUGAAUUUAUACCUGAGGGUGAUCCUCGCAGUUUUACCAAUUUAUAAUCGUCAAUGCAGAUACGUGCUUUAACUUAACAUUGUGAAACUUUGAUAUUUAUAUAAUUUGUGUCAUUUGAAAACUUAUAUUCUGUUUAUUGAGUUUAUUGAAAGAAACCUCCAAUCAGCGUGGACGAGGCCAUGGGUUAUUUACAUUUCCAAGGAAAACUUUCGUCUAAUGAAGCCUCGAUAGACCCGUGCAGCAUGUGAACUUUCUACAUGUACUUCAACUUAGUUCUGGUGGUUGCCGAUAUACCAAAACCUGACUGUAACCACGUGUUUACCUGAGGGUUUUAAACACCACGUGCACCGGAACCGGGCUGACUAUAUAGACUUUUCCUUCAUUUCAUUAUUUAAUUUGUAUAUUUUUGUUUGUUUAAUUUUUUCUCGUUGAAUUUUCUGUUUAAUUUUAUUUCAUUUUGUUAUUAAAUAUUUUGUUAAAAAUUUCA